CUGGGAGGACCAUCUCCUAAGGCUAAAUACUCUCUAGUGACCGAUAGUGAACCAGUACCGUGAGGGAAAGGUGAAAAGCACCCCGGAAGGGGAGUGAAAUAGAACCUGAAACCGUGUGCUUACAAGUAGUCAGAGCCCGUUAAUGGGUGAUGGCGUGCCUUUUGUAGAAUGAACCGGCGAGUUACGAUUUGAUGCAAGGUUAAGCAGUAAAUGUGGAGCCGUAGCGAAAGCGAGUCUGAAUAGGGCGUUUAGUAUUUGGUCGUAGACCCGAAACCAGGUGAUCUACCCUUGGUCAGGUUGAAGUUCAGGUAACACUGAAUGGAGGACCGAACCGACUUACGUUGAAAAGUGAGCGGAUGAACUGAGGGUAGCGGAGAAAUUCCAAUCGAACCUGGAGAUAGCUGGUUCUCUCCGAAAUAGCUUUAGGGCUAGCCUCAAGUGAUGAUUAUUGGAGGUAGAGCACUGUUUGGACGAGGGGCCCCUCUCGGGUUACCGAAUUCAGACAAACUCCGAAUGCCAAUUAAUUUAACUUGGGAGUCAGAACAUGGGUGAUAAGGUCCGUGUUCGAAAGGGAAACAGCCCAGACCACCAGCUAAGGUCCCAAAAUAUAUGUUAAGUGGAAAAGGAUGUGGCGUUGCCCAGACAACUAGGAUGUUGGCUUAGAAGCAGCCAUCAUUUAAAGAGUGCGUAAUAGCUCACUAGUCGAGUGACACUGCGCCGAAAAUGUACCGGGGCUAAACAUAUUACCGAAGCUGUGGAUUGUCCUUUGGACAAUGGUAGGAGAGCGUUCUAAGGGCGUUGAAGCAUGAUCGUAAGGACAUGUGGAGCGCUUAGAAGUGAGAAUGCCGGUGUGAGUAGCGAAAGACGGGUGAGAAUCCCGUCCACCGAUUGACUAAGGUUUCCAGAGGAAGGCUCGUCCGCUCUGGGUUAGUCGGGUCCUAAGCUGAGGCCGACAGGCGUAGGCGAUGGAUAACAGGUUGAUAUUCCUGUACCACCUAUAAUCGUUUUAAUCGAUGGGGGGACGCAGUAGGAUAGGCGAAGCGUGCGAUUGGAUUGCACGUCUAAGCAGUAAGGCUGAGUAUUAGGCAAAUCCGGUACUCGUUAAGGCUGAGCUGUGAUGGGGAGAAGACAUUGUGUCUUCGAGUCGUUGAUUUCACACUGCCGAGAAAAGCCUCUAGAUAGAAAAUAGGUGCCCGUACCGCAAACCGACACAGGUAGUCAAGAUGAGAAUUCUAAGGUGAGCGAGCGAACUCUCGUUAAGGAACUCGGCAAAAUGACCCCGUAACUUCGGGAGAAGGGGUGCUCUUUAGGGUUAACGCCCAGAAGAGCCGCAGUGAAUAGGCCCAAGCGACUGUUUAUCAAAAACACAGGUCUCUGCUAAACCGUAAGGUGAUGUAUAGGGGCUGACGCCUGCCCGGUGCUGGAAGGUUAAGAGGAGUGGUUAGCUUCUGCGAAGCUACGAAUCGAAGCCCCAGUAAACGGCGGCCGUAACUAUAACGGUCCUAAGGUAGCGAAAUUCCUUGUCGGGUAAGUUCCGACCCGCACGAAAGGCGUAACGAUUUGGGCACUGUCUCAACGAGAGACUCGGUGAAAUCAUAGUACCUGUGAAGAUGCAGGUUACCCGCGACAGGACGGAAAGACCCCGUGGAGCUUUACUGUAGCCUGAUAUUGAAAUUCGGCACAGCUUGUACAGGAUAGGUAGGAGCCUUUGAAACGUGAGCGCUAGCUUACGUGGAGGCGCUGGUGGGAUACUACCCUAGCUGUGUUGGCUUUCUAACCCGCACCACUUAUCGUGGUGGGAGACAGUGUCAGGCGGGCAGUUUGACUGGGGCGGUCGCCUCCUAAAAGGUAACGGAGGCGCUCAAAGGUUCCCUCAGAAUGGUUGGAAAUCAUUCAUAGAGUGUAA
rnacentral:rRNA from 1 species